rnacentral:lncRNA from 1 species
GCAAGAAUAAUACGAUUUGUUAUACAAAUCUGGCACCCUUCCCACAGGAACAGAACCAUGAUUAUCAUCAGGUUUUACAACAUGACGAAAUUUAGGGACAAUCUUCAUUUCUAAUGGUGAAAAGAAGUAGAAUAAAUCCAGAAUAGAAGCAAGCAUUACAGUUAAUAAUUUUAGCACCCUAAUGUAGUAAUGGUUUGCACUAUUCACAAGCCAAUUUUGUGUCAAAGCUGCUCAAGCAGAUAGCAAAAGCCUGAAAUGCAGAGAGGGGAUACCGGUAGUCCAUGGUAAACAUAUCUUUACCUACUUUCCCGAACUGCAAGAUGAUUUUGUCAUGAUCUGAUUGGCUUGUCGGCUGAGAGGUUGUCGGUCCAGCAACUGGUUGUUGAGUGGCAGCAAUCAAUUGAAAGUUCUUGACAGAUGCAACUGUCACCCGUCCUCGAAAAUUUAGGCACCAGCACUGCAGUUGUUCAUGCCAUCGUGGCGCCUUGUUCUUUAGGACCAGUGGUUUCCCCUUGCCAUCAUCUUCUUCAUUAGUUGAUCCUCCACCAAUAUCAGAAAAUCGCGAGCUACUGAACUCGGUGGAAUGAUCAAGUGACUUUGAGAAAGAGAUGCUGCGAAACGAAUCCUCAAGGGGCCUUGAGAGAAGCUCUGGUUGGCCAGGCACAGAGCCACCAGCAUCAAGUGCUGAGGCAGGAAUUGAGUGCAUGACACAGUGCAUUCUCCGUGGACCCCGUGUUCCAAGCACAUUUAGCUCGUAU